UAGGGAAUAUUGCACAAUGGAGGAAACUCUGAUGCAGCGACGCCGCGUGAGUGAUGAAGGCCUUCGGGUCGUAAAGCUCUGUCGCAGGGGAAUAACACAAUGAAGGUACCCUGUAAGAAAGGAUCGGCUAACUUCGUGCCAGCAGCCGCGGUAAGACGAGGGAUCCUAGCGUUGUUCGGAAUCAUUGGGCGUAAAGCGGGUGUAGGUGGCUUUGUAAGUCAGGUGUGAAAGCCUAGGGCUCAACCCUAGAAGUGCAUUUGAUACUGCGAAGCUUGAGUGCUAGAGAGGUUACUAGAAUUGUUGGUGUAGUGGUGAAAUACGUAGAUAUCAACAGGAAUACCGGUGGCGAAGGCGGGUAACUGGCUAGACACUGACACUCAGACCCGAAAGUGCGGGGAUCAAACAGG
rnacentral:rRNA from 1 species